GGGUUGUGAGGUUAAGCGACUAAGCGUACACGGUGGAUGCCCUGGCAGUCAGAGGCGAUGAAGGACGUGCUAAUCUGCGAUAAGCGUCGGUAAGGUGAUAUGAACCGUUAUAACCGGCGAUUUCCGAAUGGGGAAACCCAGUGUGUUUCGACACACUAUCAUUAACUGAAUCCAUAGGUUAAUGAGGCGAACCGGGGGAACUGAAACAUCUAAGUACCCCGAGGAAAAGAAAUCAACCGAGAUUCCCCCAGUAGCGGCGAGCGAACGGGGAGCAGCCCAGAGCCUGAAUCAGUGUGUGUGUUAGUGGAAGCGUCUGGAAAGGCGCGCGAUACAGGGUGACAGCCCCGUACACAAAAAUGCACAUGCUGUGAGCUCGAUGAGUAGGGCGGGACACGUGGUAUCCUGUCUGAAUAUGGGGGGACCAUCCUCCAAGGCUAAAUACUCCUGACUGACCGAUAGUGAACCAGUACCGUGAGGGAAAGGCGAAAAGAACCCCGGCGAGGGGAGUGAAAAAGAACCUGAAACCGUGUACGUACAAGCAGUGGGAGCACGCUUCGGCGUGUGACUGCGUACCUUUUGUAUAAUGGGUCAGCGACUUAUAUUCUGUAGCAAGGUUAACCGAAUAGGGGAGCCGAAGGGAAACCGAGUCUUAACUGGGCGUUAAGUUGCAGGGUAUAGACCCGAAACCCGGUGAUCUAGCCAUGGGCAGGUUGAAGGUUGGGUAACACUAACUGGAGGACCGAACCGACUAAUGUUGAAAAAUUAGCGGAUGACUUGUGGCUGGGGGUGAAAGGCCAAUCAAACCGGGAGAUAGCUGGUUCUCCCCGAAAGCUAUUUAGGUAGCGCCUCGUGAAUUCAUCUCCGGGGGUAGAGCACUGUUUCGGCAAGGGGGUCAUCCCGACUUACCAACCCGAUGCAAACUGCGAAUACCGGAGAAUGUUAUCACGGGAGACACACGGCGGGUGCUAACGUCCGUCGUGAAGAGGGAAACAACCCAGACCGCCAGCUAAGGUCCCAAAGUCAUGGUUAAGUGGGAAACGAUGUGGGAAGGCCCAGACAGCCAGGAUGUUGGCUUAGAAGCAGCCAUCAUUUAAAGAAAGCGUAAUAGCUCACUGGUCGAGUCGGCCUGCGCGGAAGAUGUAACGGGGCUAAACCAUGCACCGAAGCUGCGGCAGCGACGCUUAUGCGUUGUUGGGUAGGGGAGCGUUCUGUAAGCCUGUGAAGGUGUGCUGUGAGGCAUGCUGGAGGUAUCAGAAGUGCGAAUGCUGACAUAAGUAACGAUAAAGCGGGUGAAAAGCCCGCUCGCCGGAAGACCAAGGGUUCCUGUCCAACGUUAAUCGGGGCAGGGUGAGUCGACCCCUAAGGCGAGGCCGAAAGGCGUAGUCGAUGGGAAACAGGUUAAUAUUCCUGUACUUGGUGUUACUGCGAAGGGGGGACGGAGAAGGCUAUGUUGGCCGGGCGACGGUUGUCCCGGUUUAAGCGUGUAGGCUGGUUUUCCAGGCAAAUCCGGAAAAUCAAGGCUGAGGCGUGAUGACGAGGCACUACGGUGCUGAAGCAACAAAUGCCCUGCUUCCAGGAAAAGCCUCUAAGCAUCAGGUAACAUCAAAUCGUACCCCAAACCGACACAGGUGGUCAGGUAGAGAAUACCAAGGCGCUUGAGAGAACUCGGGUGAAGGAACUAGGCAAAAUGGUGCCGUAACUUCGGGAGAAGGCACGCUGAUAUGUAGGUGAGGUCCCUCGCGGAUGGAGCUGAAAUCAGUCGAAGAUACCAGCUGGCUGCAACUGUUUAUUAAAAACACAGCACUGUGCAAACACGAAAGUGGACGUAUACGGUGUGACGCCUGCCCGGUGCCGGAAGGUUAAUUGAUGGGGUUAGCGCAAGCGAAGCUCUUGAUCGAAGCCCCGGUAAACGGCGGCCGUAACUAUAACGGUCCUAAGGUAGCGAAAUUCCUUGUCGGGUAAGUUCCGACCUGCACGAAUGGCGUAAUGAUGGCCAGGCUGUCUCCACCCGAGACUCAGUGAAAUUGAACUCGCUGUGAAGAUGCAGUGUACCCGCGGCAAGACGGAAAGACCCCGUGAACCUUUACUAUAGCUUGACACUGAACAUUGAGCCUUGAUGUGUAGGAUAGGUGGGAGGCUUUGAAGUGUGGACGCCAGUCUGCAUGGAGCCGACCUUGAAAUACCACCCUUUAAUGUUUGAUGUUCUAACGUUGACCCCUAAUCGGGGUUGCGGACAGUGUCUGGUGGGUAGUUUGACUGGGGCGGUCUCCUCCUAAAGAGUAACGGAGGAGCACGAAGGUUGGCUAAUCCUGGUCGGACAUCAGGAGGUUAGUGCAAUGGCAUAAGCCAGCUUGACUGCGAGCGUGACGGCGCGAGCAGGUGCGAAAGCAGGUCAUAGUGAUCCGGUGGUUCUGAAUGGAAGGGCCAUCGCUCAACGGAUAAAAGGUACUCCGGGGAUAACAGGCUGAUACCGCCCAAGAGUUCAUAUCGACGGCGGUGUUUGGCACCUCGAUGUCGGCUCAUCACAUCCUGGGGCUGAAGUAGGUCCCAAGGGUAUGGCUGUUCGCCAUUUAAAGUGGUACGCGAGCUGGGUUUAGAACGUCGUGAGACAGUUCGGUCCCUAUCUGCCGUGGGCGCUGGAGAACUGAGGGGGGCUGCUCCUAGUACGAGAGGACCGGAGUGGACGCAUCACUGGUGUUCGGGUUGUCAUGCCAAUGGCACUGCCCGGUAGCUAAAUGCGGAAGAGAUAAGUGCUGAAAGCAUCUAAGCACGAAACUUGCCCCGAGAUGAGUUCUCCCUGACCCUUUAAGGGUCCUGAAGGAACGUUGAAGACGACGACGUUGAUAGGCCGGGUGUGUAAGCGCAGCGAUGCGUUGAGCUAACCGGUACUAAUGAACCGUGAGGCUUAACCUUACAACGCCGAAGGUGUUU
rnacentral:rRNA from 1 species